UGUAUGUGAAUGGAUGGUUGUGCUCCUC
rnacentral:piRNA from 1 species